rnacentral:rRNA from 1 species
UACGGGGGGGGGCAAGCGUUGUUCGGAAUUACUGGGCGUAAAGGGCUCGUAGGCGGCCAACUAAGUCCGACGUGAAAUCCCCAGGCUUAACCUGGGAACUGCGUCGGAUACUGGAUGGCUUGAAUCCGGGAGAGGGAUGCGGAAUUCCAGGUGUAGCGGUGAAAUGCGCAGAUAUCAGGAGGAACACCGGUGGCGAAGGCGGGUCUCUGGGCCGAUGACUGACGCUGAGGAGCGAAAGCGUGGGGAGCGAACAGG